rnacentral:rRNA from 1 species
UACGUAGGGCGCAAGCGUUAUCCGGAAUUAUUGGGCGUAAAGAGCGUGUAGGCGGCCAGACAGGUCUGCUGUGAAAACUCGAGGCUCAACCUCGAGACGCCGGUGGAAACCGUCUGGCUAGAGUCCGGAAGAGGAGAGUGGAAUUCCUGGUGUAGCGGUGAAAUGCGCAGAUAUCAGGAAGAACACCCGUGGCUAAGGCGGCUCUCUAGUACGGUACUGACGCUGAGACGCGAAAGCGUGGGGAGCGAACAGG